CAACUAUAUAUAAAAGCAACCUGGAGAGACUUCGACAGCUCAGGUCACCACAACACCUGCAGCUGCCACUCGCUUUUCC
rnacentral:snoRNA from 1 species